rnacentral:rRNA from 1 species
AUUGAACGCUGGCGGCAGGCCUAACACAUGCAAGUCGAGCGGAUGAAGGGAGCUUGCUCCUGGAUUCAGCGGCGGACGGGUGAGUAAUGCCUAGGGAUCUGCCUGGUAGUGGGGGAUAACGUCCGGAAACGGGCGCUAAUACCGCAUAUGUCCUGAGGGAGAAAGUGGGGGAUCUUCGGACCUCACGCUAUCAGAUGAGCCUAGGUCGGAUUAGCUAGUUGGUGGGGUAAAGGCCUACCAAGGCGACGAUCCGUAACUGGUCUGAGAGGAUGAUCAGUCACACUGGAACUGAGACACGGUCCAGACUCCUACGGGAGGCAGCAGUGGGGAAUAUUGGACAAUGGGCGAAAGCCUGAUCCAGCCAUGCCGCGUGUGUGAAGAAGGUCUUCGGAUUGUAAAGCACUUUAAGUUGGGAGGAAGGGCAGUAAGUUAAUACCUUGCUGUUUUGACGUUACCAACAGAAUAAGCACCGGCUAACUUCGUG